rnacentral:rRNA from 1 species
UGGGGGAUAUUGCACAAUGGGCGAAAGCCUGCUGCAGCGACGCCGCGUGGGGGGUGAAGGCCUUCGGGUUGUAGACCUCUUUUGCUCUGAACAAGGCAUGCUAAUGGGUGUGUUGAGUGUAGGGGUUGAUUAGCGCCGGCUAACUACGUGCCAGCAGCGGCGGUAAUACGUAGGGCGCGAGCGUUGUCCGGAAUUAUUGGGCGUAAAGGGCUUGUAGGUGGCUGUUUGCGUCUGUCGUGAAAGCUCAUGGCUUAACUGUUGGUUUGCGGUGGGUACGGGCUGGCUUGAGUGCAGUAGGGGAGGCUGGGAAUCCUGGUGUAGCGGGGGAAUGCGCAGAUAUCAGGGGGAAUACCGGUGGCGAAGGCGGGUCUCUGGGCUGUUACUGACACUGAGGAGCGAAAGCAUGGGGAGCGAACAGG